rnacentral:rRNA from 1 species
CUACGGGCGGCACCAGUGGGGAAUAUUGGACAAUGGGGGAAACCCUGAUCCAGCAAUGCCGCGUGUGUGAAGAAGGCCUGCGGGUUGUAAAGCACUUUCGGUUGGGAGGACUGCUUCUAGCACUAAUAUUGUUGGAAGUUGACGUUACCUUCAGAAGAAGCACCGGCUAACUCCGUGCCAGCAGCCGCGGUAAUACGGAGGGUGCAAGCGUGAAUCGGAAUUACUGGGCGUAAAGCGCGCGGAGGCGGCUAGAUCAGUCGGGUGUGAAAGCCCCGGGCUUAACCUGGGAUCUGCAUCCGAUACUGUCUAGCUUGAGUACAGGAGAGGAGGGUGGAAUUCCACAUGUAGCGGUGAAAUGCGUAGAUAUGUGGAGGAACACCAAUGGCGAAGGCAGCUCUCUGGCCUGAUACUGACGCUGAGGUGCGAAAGCGUGGGGAGCAAACAGGAUUAGAUACCCGAGUAGUC